GUAGAAAUAUUCUUAUUCUAUAGUACAUUAUUAUCAUAUUGUUUAUGUACAUAUUAGAUUAUAGGGUAUGCAUUAUAAGUAUAUAUAUAUAUACACAUAUACACACACAUAUAUAGUCUUAGAGAAUCAUGUUUAUUAAGUCACAAGAUUUUUAACAGUGCGCAUGUAUUGGAAUUGAAUACUUGCAUGGCCUGAUUGCACUGAAGGUUUUGCAUAGCGCUUGCAUGUGCAAUAUUGACAGACUCCUAAUUGGUUGAAACAUACAACGUAGUAGGCACAGACAGACUAAAAAUGUACAACUGUACUGAUUGAUGCAGACGUUCAAACAUGCUCCUACAUGCACAGACGCCUUUAAAUGUAAAAUCUACCCAAGCUGGUGGGAGUAAUUGCUGUCCUGGAGUGAGGAAUUCCUGCAAGUUUUAGAAAAUACGAGUGACAGUAAAUGAUCCCAUUCUUUUAACGUCUCUCCUCUCGGAAUCCUUGUUUCAAGUACAUGGAUACAUGGAUUACUGUACAUCACAUCUCACAACUGCUUCAUUAUCCAUAAAAUGGGAGGUAUAGGUAGUCAACCCCCUGUGUAGGACAUAUCCAUCAGCCUGAAAGGUAAGCAUCCCCUAUACCUUUCUGAUGACAACCUGUGGCUAGUAGACACAUGCAUCUGCAAGGCCCAUAAAUCAAUUAACAAUUGAGUUAACCCAUAAAGCAGAUGAUAUGCUAUAUGUUUUCUUCGAUCUCCCCAGGGAGAGAAAGAAGCAAAGCCAGAGAGGCAUUCCUGCGUUUGACAGAUGAGUCCUUGGCAGCCUAAUUUUUAAUGCUCUGCCCUCUGUGCCGAGUAGUUGAGCCAGGAGGAAUAGGGGCCCUCAUGAGCCACAGGUGUGUUGCCUCUGGGGAGGCCCUUUAGUCCUAGCCCACUAAGAGGGGAGGGAGUAGUUAGCAGGGUAGAGGUUGGGAUAUGGAGGGUACUAGAUAAAAAAGAAAAAGGCAGUUUGAGACAACAAGGCAACAAAUGACAAGUCGUGUUCCACUUUUUUCAACCUCUGCUUUAUGGAUUUAACGCGAGCGGAAACUCCCUUCAACUAAUGCCAACACCCAUUCAAUUAUUUAAAAUCCAUGACAGGGAGUGUGCAAAUGUUUACUUUUGGAAGAGGCUGAAGAAUCGGCACAAAUCAAGACUGAUGUUUUGAGGAAGGCCAAAGUCUUUUGAGCGUGGCAUUUUGUUCUUUCACAUGCUGCACUCUCAAACUAUGUAUCAAAUCUAUACAUCAUCUGUCUGUAUAUUUCUAUUUAUUUCUCAAUCUAUUUCAGGACCUCUUUCUCUUGUUUCUCUCACACAACUUAUGGUUAACAUCACUAUCUCCUGAUUAGGCAAUUUAAACUUUAGGCACGUCUAACAUGAUGAGAUUUAGAGCUAAAUAUGAUGAAAAGUUUAAUAAUAAUAUAUAGGAUUUAAAGUACCUGUAUAACAGUAGAAAACAUCAAGAAACAAUAAAAAUAAGAUAAUAAAACUAUGUAGCUUAGCUAAAGCUGACUGAAGACCAAGUAAUGCUUAGGGAAAUCCAGACCAUGGCAGUGACACUGAAAGCCUUGUCCCUCGAGGUACAGGGCCAGAGUAUAAGUCUGAAACAUUUACACAUUAUAUAUGAAAUUAGAUCCCUCUGGUCUGUAACACAGUAUGGCAUGUGAUUCUCCACAUGCAAAGGAUAUUUCAUCUGAUGGAUAUGAGUACUGAAAAUGUGAGUGGUGUUCAGGUUUUUCUAGCUGUUUUUUGUUUUUGUUAACCUGACUUAAACAUUAAAAUAUAUCAGACAAAAUCAGUCACUUUCUGUGGUUUUUAAUGCGUUUCAUAGUGCUUAUCAUUGCAUUGUGUUAACUCACUGCACCUUUCACCAACAUGUACAGCAACCUCACCAACCUAGAUUGAUUUACAGAAUUAUUUUUCACAUCUGAAAACCUGUCACAGUGGGGAUGAAUAUAACAGGUACACUGGGUACUAGAUUUCUUACAAUAAUAUUUUGUUGUAUAGAUUAUACCUUAUUUAGCCUCCCAAUUUCACACAGUAAUUCCAAAAGCCAAAGAAGUUCUUUCUCCAUGUCAGAAAAUUCAUCGCAAUGUUUACUGUAUGUUUUGUUCCGAGACAUUGUACUUGUUAUUGAUAUGUUUGAGUUUAGUAUCACAAUACUUAAAUAAAGAUUUUUAAAACUGACAGAG
ensembl:lncRNA